GGCACCUAUCCACAGCCUGAACCUUGGAGAACACCUCCCUUUCAUAUGACUUCUGCAAAGGGCGUGUUUCAGCUCACAGGGACAAAGAGUCACUGCACCAGAGAACCAGAAAGAGAUGUUUCAGGAAACUGCCGCAACUUUGUAGAGCACAGUUUGAAAGCUACUGCUGAAGAAAUAUGUCACCUUGAAGGCUUUUUAAACACGGGAUUUGCAAGAUAGGGUUUGCAUUUUAGAAACAUUAUUCUGCUUGCUACACUACUGAGUUUGGAUGAGGGAGACUUGAAGGCAAGGGAGCUCUGUUAUGAAAUAACUACACUUUUCUUAUAGAAGAAGACUAUAAUAGACUGUAUCAAAAAUGUCUACGUUCCAUAGCAUUGGUGGAACCAUGCAUUACGUCUGAGGACAAGGACGGGAACCUUCUGUGGCGUGCUGUCAACAGCUUUAAAUAGGCAUUGAGUUUGAAGAUAGAGCACAUGAAGGGCAUGUUACAGCAGAGCUGAAGGGAGAACAGUUGAUGGGGUUUGGUGAUCAACUGAUUUGGAGAGUAAAGCAAUGAGAAGAAUGACAUUCAUGAUUUGUUACAGACACGGCUCACAGGCUUAAGCGUCUUGCUGUAGGUCAUACGGCAGGUUAAUGACAACACUGGGGCAAGAACACAGGUUACGCUCGUCCUGGGGAAGGCUCCCACACCAAGCUACACACUUCUGCAAUGCUGUUCCAGAUGUGAAAAUCCGCUAAGACAAAUAGGUCACAAAAACACCAUGGGAAACGAUGAUGUCUUUUCCUUUUUGUUAUCUUGAUAAAGCUUCAUACAUGAAUGAUAAAAUGGAAAUUUCAGUUGAGGAACUAAUAAAUCAACAGAUGUCUUACUCCACAACGAGGUGCAAGAUCUUGAGGCUGGAUUUAGAAAGAGGAAGAGAAGACCAAUUGCACAGCUCAUCACCCCUCACCCAUCUGAUGAUAUGAAAGGUUUGAAGGAAGCCAGAGCUGGAGCAAGAUUUUCCUCAGAUGAGUUUUGAUGAACUACAAAGAAUGAAGAUGCUCUCCCUUGUCAUCCCCAGUCAAAGAAAAGGCACUUUAAAGAAAUCACUCACGAGCCA
ensembl:lncRNA novel transcript